rnacentral:lncRNA from 1 species
CAUUUUUCCCCUUUUCCUAAAGCAGAAUGAUGUACAGCACUUGGACGAAACUUCCCUGUAGAUAAAAUGACACCCAGUGGUCCUGUUGGAAUGCUGUCUGCUAUCUCUCAGAUUUAAAGCAGGUUUCUCUGCUCUCCAGCACAAAGCCUGCCCAGAAGAGGAACCAGUCAAUAUUGCCUGAAUGAGUGAUGACGAAUACCACAGAGAAAGUAUACAUGAAGUCCUUUUUGUGUAACUUUUCAUGGCUUGAAGUUGAUGUGGAAGACAUCACUUUGGUAUGCAGCAGAAACAAACUUCAAAAGUCCAUAGUAUCAGGCUCUAGACAAUUUUCACUAACAAUUUACUCUGCAUCUUCCUAAAAAAAUUGAAUUAUAGAUGGUUAAUAACAAUGAAAAUCUAUACUACUUACUACUCAGUCUACCAACUAUACAAUGCCACAGUACAAUCGGAGUCAUCAUAGAAAAGAACCUGGGGACAAAAUAUCUUUUCCAUCUCUUUAAAGACUGAAACAUAUGAUUGACCCAUGGCCAAUGUCAUGUUUAAGAAACUUAGAAAAAUUCAACAUUAGACUUAUAGUGCUGUCAUCAUUGUUUCGCCUGCUGCUAAAACCCAUAUUUUUCUAAACCUCCUACAGUUUUGGACUUGCAGGGCUAUCUACAAUAGAGAUUUACUUUCUAACAUGUUCAGAAACUGUAAUAAACCUUUGCUAUUGUCACCUGCAAAGCCCAGCAGUUAGUGCAGGCUGUUUCUUCUCCUUUGCCUCCUGCAGGAAGUGCCUGUGCUUCAGGGUUGGUGCAGGAUACAAGGUGGGUAGAACUUGUGUGUGUGUUCUACAGGGUCAGCCACUUCAAUCAACGGCAGGUUAUAGAUGGCAUUUCUCCUCUGGGAGGAGAGUGUUACCUUUAGUGAAACUAUUCACCUGGUUGGAGCUAAUCAACUUACUCAGAGCACUGGGCUUGAACCUAAAGAAAAUCAUGCUGUGAUCAGUAGAAAAAAAAAGGUUUUUAUGUCUCAUUCACCACCAAAGUAUAGUAGAAAAUUAUGGACCCCCCCCAAUUUCUCGCCUUUUACUUGCAAUAUUUGAAUCUGUGUGUGUGUGUGUGUGCACAUACACACCUCUGUGUGUUUUUUCUUGUCAUUCUGCUGUCACUGCCUCCUCCAUGAUUUUCUCAUUGCUAGUCUACUACAGGAAAAGUUCCAAGAUAGUAAAAGUUUUAGAGUAAAACAUCAAAACACUUCCCUUUCCAUUGUAUUUAAAGAGGCUCAAGACUAGGUGAAUAAAUAUAUUUACAAAAUGUCUGCUAUGUCCUUAGAUACAUAUUAAUGGUCAUUUGACUCUGAUAGCUGGAAACACUGAUUCACUUCAUUUCCUGCACAUUGGAAUCACCCAGGGAGGUUUGUAAUAUAUUAAUAAUUGAGUCUCAACUCCAGUGUUUCUGAUUUAAUUGGUCUAGAUCACCACAGGCUUGCAGUUUGGCUAUAAGCCUUUAAAUGAAAGGCUCUUGGGUCUUUAGCCCAGAACUUCUCUUCCCUCCUCCUCUGCCUUUUAGGAAAAACACAGAAACAGAAACCCACAUGAGCUAAGCAUGUGUAGUCUGCUACUAAUGAAUCAAGUGCAAAAAUUAGAAAAACACAUAGUUUCUGACAACAUGCUGGACAAAGAGAGAGAAACAAGAUAUCCUCUCAGAAGAAACUCAAAAAAUUUAACAUUUGCUUUCCUCCUCUUCCUCCUUCUCCUUUUUUUUUUUUUUUUUUUGGUUGGAGUCUCACUCUCUUGCCCUGGUUGGAAGGCUGGAGUGCAGUGGCACAAUCUCUGCUCACUACAACCUCUGCCUCUGGGGUUCAAGUGAUUCUCAGACUCUCAAGUAGCUGGGACCACAGGCAUACCCCACUUGCCUGGCUAAUUAUUGUGUUUUUAGUAGAGACAGGGUUUCAACAUGUUGACCAGGCUGCUCUCGAAUUCCUGACCUCAAGUGAUCUGCCCACCUUGGCCUCCCAAAGUGCUGGUAUUACAGGUGUGAGCCACUGCGCCUGACCCCAUUUGGUUUCUAGAGUUAAAACAGACACUUGUUAGUUUAUCCUGUGGAUAUUUCCUGUGCCUGUCCAUUUAGUCACAAACUGAGGGCUCCUUUGAGCUUUAAACCACACCCAACUCUUCUGAGCAGGCCUGAAUUUUGAACAGAUUAAAUAGACUUACCUACAUAGGAUGAUUUGAAGGAGAUGCAGCAAAAUAAGUCUCUUUUGCAAAUAUCUCCUUUACCUGAAUUUAAACGUAAACAAUUUAUAUUUCAUGUUGUGUAUGUACUUUUGGAAUUGAAGAAUCUGUGUACUAAAAUGGAACUAUUUCUGGUGGAGGAGAGAAUAAAAGAAGCUCACUUAAGUCAGAGUUGGUAAAUAAUUUCCAGUUUACUUGAUGAUUCCAAUUGACUGGUAAUGAUGGUUAAGGGUAGUGCAUUGAUAGAUAAUAUAUCAUGAUCAAGUUACAUGAAUUUCAAGAAGGAAAAGUUGGUUUACACGUUUACACUGGCAAAAAAAAUCUAUAUGUAUGAUCUACCAGAUUAAAGAAACAAGUUAUUAUGUCACAAUGUGUAGAAACUAUUUGGUAAACUUAACACCCAUUUGUGUGUGUUUUUUUUUAAAAGCUCAGAAUAAAAAUCAAAGCUUUCUUAACCUGACAAAAUUUGUCUAUCAAAAAUUUACAGUAAAUAUAAAUUUUAACGGUGAAGUAAGUUAAAAUCAGGAACAAGAAAAGAAUGUCUAUUAUCAUCACUUCUGUUUGAUAUAAUAGACAGUGUAAUAAGGACAAAGGGGCAAAAAAAAUGAAAAGGACUGGAAAGGAAGCAACAAAACCCCCUUUAUUCAUAUAUAAUAUGAUUUCCACAUUAAAGACCCAAAAUAAUCUGCCAAAAAUUAGAGCUAGUAAAAGUGUCUAGUAAAAUGCUUGAAUGUGAG